AACGAACGCUGGCGGCAGGCUUAACACAUGCAAGUCGAGCGCCCCGCAAGGGGAGCGGCAGACGGGUGAGUAACGCGUGGGAAUCUACCCAUCUCUACGGAAUAACGCAUGGAAACGUGUGCUAAUACCGUAUACGUCCUUCGGGAGAAAGAUUUAUCGGAGAUGGAUGAGCCCGCGUUGGAUUAGCUAGUUGGUGGGGUAAAGGCCUACCAAGGCGACGAUCCAUAGCUGGUCUGAGAGGAUGAUCAGCCACACUGGGACUGAGACACGGCCCAGACUCCUGCGGGAGGCAGCAGUGGGGAAUAUUGGACAAGGGGCGCAAGCCUGAUCCAGCCAUGCCGCGUGAGUGGUGAAGGCCCUAGGGUUGUAAAGCUCUUUCACCGGUGAGGAAAAUGACGGUAACCGGAGAAGAAGCCCCGGCUAACUUCGUGCCAGCAGCCGCCGUAAUAC
rnacentral:rRNA from 1 species